rnacentral:rRNA from 1 species
UGAGGAAUUUUCCGCAAUGGACGAAAGUCUGACGGAGCAACGCCGCGUGCAGGAUGACGGCCUUCGGGUUGUAAACUGCUUUUCUCUGGGACGAAAGAUGACGGUACCAGAGGAAUCAGCCUCGGCUAACUACGUGCCAGCAGCCGCGGUAAUACGUAGGAGGCGAGCGUUGUCCGGAGUUACUGGGCGUAAAGCGCACGCAGGCGGUCUCUCGCGUUGGCACUGACAGUUUCCAGCUCAACUGGAAAAGGCGUGCCAAGACGGAAAGACUUGAGGGCUUCAGAGGAAGAGAGAAUUCCGGGUGGAGUGGUGAAAUGCGUAGAGAUCCGGAGGAAUACCAAAGGCGAAGGCACUCUUCUGGGAAGUUCCUGACGCUGAGGUGCGAAAGCUAGGGGAGCGAACGG